AUAUAUAUAUAUAUAUAUAUAUAUAUAUAUAUAUAUAUAUAUAUAUAUAUAUAUAUAUAUAUAUAUAUAUAUAUAUAUAUAUAUAUAUAUAUAUAUAUAUAUAUAUAUAUAUAUAUAUAUAUAUAUAUAUAUAUAUAUAUAUAUAUAUAUAUAUAUAUAUAUAUAUAUAUAUAUAUAUAUAUAUAUAUAUAUAUAUAUAUAUAUAUAUAUAUAUAUAUAUAUAUAUAUAUAUAUAUAUAUAUAUAUAUAUAUAUAUAUAUAUAUAUAUAUAUAUGUUCAGAAAAAUACAAGCGAUUCCCUUCGGGAUAUAACAAGAUCUUGAAUAUUUCCUUUUAUUUUUUUUUCUAAGAAGUGGUAGAUGCCUAAAUUUUAACAGAAACUUAAUGUAACUUUUGCUAGUCUAAGCAGCUAGCCGUCUUAUGCUGGUCAAUUGCAAGUGACAAAUGCAGUCUUAUUUCCAUUCAUAGUUACAAUAUAGUAUGGUUUACAGGCAGGCAUAAUUAAUAAGAUAGGUAAACAUGAACUCACAAUUGGACAUACAAAUUACAAGUACCGAAUUCAUUUUCUUUUUAUUUUAUUCUUAAUUAAAAAAAACACACACACAUAUAUAUAUAUACUGAUGAAACACAACAGCAUAUAAGCUCGCAUUAAGGAAAAGCUAAAACGUCAAAAGCUCCCAUAUAAUCUUUUACACACAUAUUGAUCAUCGAUCUUAUUUCAAGCACAUUAGAUUAUUAUAAUUAUCUAACAAGUAAUUACUUAAACAUUUGAUGGUGGGGCAAUGACGGCACCCUUAGCAAUCUUGGACUUGAAAGACUUUGUCAAAUCCGGAGUCAUAUUCAGAGAGGCCUCUAAAAU
rnacentral:lncRNA from 1 species